GACGAACGCUGGCGGCGUGCCUAAUACAUGCAAGUUGAGCGCUGAAGGUUGGUACUUGUACCCACUGGAUGAGCAGCGAACGGGUGAGUAACGCGUGGGGAAUCUGCCUUUGAGCGGGGGACAACAUUUGGAAACGAAUGCUAAUACCGCAUAAAAACUUUAAACACAAGUUUUAAGUUUGAAAGAUGCAAUUGCAUCACUCAAAGAUGAUCCCGCGUUGUAUUAGCUAGUUGGUGAGGUAAAGGCUCACCAAGGCGAUGAUACAUAGCCGACCUGAGAGGGUGAUCGGCCACAUUGGGACUGAGACACGGCCCAAACUCCUACGGGAGGCAGCAGUAGGGAAUCUUCGGCAAUAGACGAAAGUCUGACCGAGCAACGCCGCGUGAGUGAAGAAGGUUUUCGGAUCGUAAAACUCUGUUGGUAGAGAAGAACGUUGGUGAGAGUGGAAAGCUCAUCAAGUGACGGUAACUACCCAGAAAGGGACGGCUAACUACGUG
rnacentral:rRNA from 1 species